UGAAGAAAUGCAUUCUUCCCCAACCCUAGCAACAGCACAGUACUACUUCCCUAUAAAUUGCACAACAAUAUGAUCAACAGGCCAUCAACACACCGAGUAGAGAUUCCUCCGCAGUAGAAACCGAGUCCAGCUACUGAAUCCAAUCAUGAAGGUGAUGUUUGCGCUCUUCCUUGUGCUCGUACUGACCAUGGCAGCUCUACAUGCCAAUGCAGAGCGUCGGCUCGGUGACACGAGCGUGGGCCGCAAAGCUAGUGUUGGCGUUAGUGAUGCUACCGUUUCUACCAAUGCUGCCGCUACUACUGCUGCUGCUGCUUCAAGCAAAACUACCGGAUCCCUGAGUGAUACAAGUGCUUCUACUCCUGUUGCUACUGCUACAAGCAACACGGAUGCUGAAACCGGGCCCCAACAACAUGAGAAGAACGCCGGUUAUGGUAACUACUCGAGCACUCCGGCUAGCACCGAUCCCGAUAGUUCUCACCAUGAGAUAAAAGACAGGUCAUGAGGAGGCCGAACUGAUCGACUUGGAGGCUGGACUGGUCAGUGUCAAUGGGAAUUAUAGGUAGUAAUGAAAAUGAAUAAGUCGGCAAAUUCAUGUCUGAAGCAUAGAUCUUGAGUAUGGCGCACCUUGAGAUCCACCGGAAAGUCGAUAAGCUUUUGUGCGUAUCCUCUGAACCACAAACAAAG